rnacentral:rRNA from 1 species
UUGAUCUCAAAUCAGAUAGGAUUACCCGCUGAACUUAAGCAUAUCAAUAAGCGGAGGAAAAGAAACCAACAGGGAUUGCCUUAGUAACGGCGAGUGAAGCGGCAAGAGCUCAAAUUUGAAAUCUAGCACUUUCAGUGUUCGAGUUGUAAUUUGAAGAAGGUAACUUUGGAAUUGGUGCUGGCAUAUGUUCCUUGGAACAGGACGUCAUAGAGGGUGAGAAUCCCGUACGUGGCUGGUAUACCAAUUCUAUGUAAAGUGCUUUCGAAGAGUCGAGUUGUUUGGGAAUGCAGCUCUAAGUGGGUGGUAAACUCCAUCUAAAGCUAAAUAUUGGCGAGAGACCGAUAGCGAACAAGUACAGUGAUGGAAAGAUGAAAAGAACUUUGAAAAGAGAGUGAAAAAGUACGUGAAAUUGCUAAAAGGGAAGGGCUUGAAAUCAGACUUGGUAUUUAGAGUUCAGCUUUCUCUUGGGAUUGUUACUCUCUAUUUACUGGGCCAGCAUCGGUUUGAACGGUAGGAUAAUUGUCUUUGAAUGUGGCUUUCAUUUUUGGAAGUGUUAUAGCUUAGGCCGAUACUACCAGUUUGGACCGAGGACCGCGCAUUUUUUGCUAGGAUGCUGGCGUAAUGAUUUUAAGCCGC